rnacentral:rRNA from 1 species
GAGUUUGAUCCUGGCUCAGAUUGAACGCUGGCGGCAUGCUUUACACAUGCAAGUCGAACGGCAGCACAGGGAGCUUGCUCCUGGGUGGCGAGUGGCGAACGGGUGAGUAAUGUAUCGGAACGUGCCUGGUAGUGGGGGAUAACCACUCGAAAGAGUGGCUAAUACCGCAUGAGAUCUCUGGAUGAAAGCGGGGGACCUUUGGGCCUCGCGCUACUGGAGCGGCCGAUAUCAGAUUAGGUUGUUGGUGGGGUAAAGGCCUACCAAGCCUGCGAUCUGUAGCUGGUCUGAGAGGACGACCAGCCACACUGGGACUGAGACACGGCCCAGACUCCUACGGGAGGCAGCAGUGGGGAAUUUUGGACAAUGGGCGCAAGCCUGAUCCAGCAAUGCCGCGUGCAGGACGAAGGCCUUCGGGUUGUAAACUGCUUUUGUACAGAACGAAAAGUCUCUGGCUAAUAUCUGGAGAUUCAUGACGG